AGCUUUGUGCAGUGACAGUAUCGUAGCCAAUGAGGUUUAUCCGGGGUGUAAUUAUUGCUAAUUGAAAACUUUUCCUGAUACCCCGCCAUGAUGGAAGAUUUAAUAUGAUUUUUAUUGUUAAUUUUCAAAUUUAUGUAUU